rnacentral:rRNA from 1 species
UGGGGAAUAUUGGACAAUGGAGGAAACUCUGAUCCAGCAAUUCUGUGUGUGUGAAGAAGGUUUUAGGACUGUAAAACACUUUUAGUAGGGAAGAAAAAAAUGACGGUACCUACAGAAGAAGCAACGGCUAAAUACGUGCCAGCAGCCGCGGUAAUACGUAUGUUGCGAGCGUUAUCCGGAAUUAUUGGGCUUAAAGGGCAUCUAGGCGGUAAGACAAGUUGAAGGUGAAAACCUGUGGCUCAACCAUAGGCUUGCCUACAAAACUGUUGAACUAGAGUACUGGAAAGGUGGGUGGAACUACACGAGUAGAGGUGAAAUUCGUAGAUAUGUGUAGGAAUGCCGAUGAUGAAGAUAACUCACUGGACAGAAACUGACGCUGAAGUGCGAAAGCUAGGGGAGCAAACA